rnacentral:rRNA from 1 species
CGUCCUAUUAGCUAGUUGGUGAGGUAAUGGCUCACCAAGGCUACGAUGGGUAGGGGUUCUUAGUGGAAGGUCCCCCACACUGGCACUGAGAUACGGGCCAGACUCCUACGGGAGGCAGCAGUAGGGAAUAUUGGUCAAUGGGCGCAAGCCUGAACCAGCCAUGCCGCGUGCAGGGUGAAGGCUCUCUGAGUUGUAAACUGCUUUUGUACAGGAGCAAAACAAUCCCUGCGGGGGUUCCUGAGAGUACUGUAAGAAUAAGCACCGGCUAAUUCCGUGCCAGCAGCCGCGGUAAUACGGAAGGUGCAAGCGUUAUCCGGUUUUAUUGGGUUUAAAGGGUGCGUAGGCGGCUUAUUAAGUCAGUUGUGAAAUCCUAGUGCUUAACGCUAGAACUGCGAUUGAUACCAUU